AACGAACGCUGGCGGCAUGCCUAACACAUGCAAGUCGAACGAGACCUUCGGGUCUAGUGGCGCACGGGUGCGUAACGCGUGGGAACCUGCCCUUAGGUUCGGAAUAACUCCCCGAAAGGGGUGCUAAUACCGGAUAAUGUCUUCGGACCAAAGAUUGAUCGCCUUUGGAUGGGCCCGCGUUGGAUUACCUAGUUGGUAGGGUAAAAGCCUACCAGGGCGACGAUCCAUAGCUGGUCUGAGAGGAUGAUCAGCCACACUGGGACUAAGACACGGCCCAGACUACUGCGGGAGGGAGCAGUGGGGAAUAUUGGACAAUCGGCUAAAGCCUGAUCCAGCUAUGCCGGGUGAGUGAUGAAGGCCUUAGGGUUGUAAAGCUCUUUUACACGGGAUGAUAAUGACGGUACCGGGAGAAUAAGCACCGGCUAACUUCGUG
rnacentral:rRNA from 1 species